rnacentral:lncRNA from 1 species
GCCCCUUCCUCUGCCUGUUAAGGGAAAGCAAGCCCUCAGCAUUAACCACAACAAUCACAGUUGACCUGAGUUUUCUUUGACCUGCCAACUAAGAACCAGGCUAUGCUCUUCUGUCUCUGAGAAGUCUUCCCAGCCCUUCAUCCACAAGACUGU